CCUCGUUGGGAACCGAGGGGUCACGGCCUCUACCUGCAGGAGACCGGAGGCUGCGGCUCUGGUUGGGGUCACCGUUCUACAAAUGCCUCCAAAAGGUUCUUCCUCAUCCUUCCAAUCAAAACUUCACAAGACACGCCUUUCGACAGAGGUGGGCUUCUGGGCAUGUGCAGUAGGCUGUGCUUACCUCGGCCCACCCUUCCCAGCUGCUGCCUUCUGAGGCGAAAACGGCAAUCGGCCUUCGCGUUCCGGGGAAAGCUGCUCUCCUUUUAGGCCUUUCAACAGCCGACUCAACGCCCUUACGCAUGCGCACAAAAUAUACGUGCAUUCGUCUCCUGCCGCCACCAUUACACCUCCUCCUAACAAAACGUAAGCUCGGUGACAGUGAGGACGUUCAAGAACAGUUUUAUUGAGGUAUGAGUGACCUACAAUAAACCGUACGUGUUACAAUUUGAGCGGUUUUGCCAUACGUACAAAACCAUGAAGCCCUCACCCCAAUCAAGAUGUGCCGCAGUGUCUGUUUCCUCAUGAGCCUGUUGUGAGCCGUCCUCCCUCGUGCUUUCUGCCACCAUGGCCUUGUCUGUACUUUCCGGACUUCUAUGUAAAUGGAACCGCAUAGCAUCGCCUUCUGAAGAACACACAUUCUUAAUUACACUAUCGUCUGGUUUAUCAGUUUUUCUUUAUGGGUCACGCACUGCCCUCAUCUACUGAAUCUCUGCAUAACCUACCA